rnacentral:misc_RNA from 1 species
CCGAGCUCGCGCCCACCCGGGCCGACCUCCCCCCCGUGUGUAUUCUUACCCUGUUGCUUUGGCGAGCCGCCCCCCUGAGGGGCCCUGCACGCUCGUCGAAGGCCCUCAAAACCCUGUUCGUCAGUGUCGUCUGAGCGUGAUAUAAUAGUUA